AAGGCAUACGGGGCGCAGCAGUGGGGAAUAUUGCACAAUGGGGGAAACCCUGAUGCAGCGACGCCGCGUGAAGGAAGAAGUAUUUCGGUAUGUAAACUUCUAUCAGCAGGGAAGAAAAUGACGGUACCUGACUAAGAAGCCCCGGCUAACUACGUGCCAGCAGCCGCGGUAAUACGUAGGGGGCACGCGUUAUCCGGAUUUACUGGGCGUAAAGGGAGCGUAGGCGGUUUAGCAAGUCAGAAGUGAAAGCCCGGGGCUUAACUCCGGGACUGCUUUUGAAACUGUUGAA
rnacentral:rRNA from 1 species